AGCGAACGCUGGCGGCAGGCUUAACACAUGCAAGUCGAGCGGGCAUCUUCGGAUGUCAGCGGCAGACGGGUGAGUAACACGUGGGAACGUACCCUUCGGUUCGGAACAACUCUGGGAAACUGGAGCUAAUACCGGAUACGCCCUUAUGGGGAAAGGUUUACUGCCGAAGGAUCGGCCCGCGUCUGAUUAGCUAGUUGGUGGGGUAACGGCCCACCAAGGCGACGAUCAGUAGCUGGUCUGAGAGGAUGAUCAGCCACACUGGGACUGAGACACGGCCCAGACUCCUACGGGAGGCAGCAGUGGGGAAUAUUGGACAAUGGGCGCAAGCCUGAUCCAGCCAUGCCGCGUGAGUGAUGAAGGCCUUAGGGUUGUAAAGCUCUUUUGUCCGGGACGAUAAUGACGGUACCGGAAGAAUAAGCCCCGGCUAACUUCGUG
rnacentral:rRNA from 1 species